GUCGAGCGAAUGGAUUAAGAGCUUGCUCUUAAUGAAGUUAGCGGCGGACGGGUGAGUAACACGUGGGUAACCUGCCCAUAAGACUGGGAUAACUCCGGGAAACCGGGGCUAAUACCGGAUAACAUUUUGAACCGCAUGGUUCGGAAAUUGAAAGGCGGCUUCGGCUGUCACUUAUGGAUGGACCCGCGUCGCAUUAGCUAGUUGGUGAGGUAACGGCUCACCAAGGCAACGAUGCGUAGCGGACCUGAGAGGGUGAUCGGCCACACUGGGACUGAGACACGGCCCAGACUCCUACGGGAGGCAGCAGUAGGGAAUCUUCCGCAAUGGACGAAAAUCUGACGGGAGCAACGCCCGCGUGAGUGAUGAAAGGCUUUUCGGGGCCGUAAAAACUCUGUUGUUAGGGAAAGAACAAGGGCUAGUUGAAUAAGCUGGCACCUUUGACGGGUACCCUAACCAGAAAGCCACGGCUAACUACGUGCCAGCAGCCGCGGUAAUACGUAGGUGGGCAAGCGUUAUCCGGAAUUAUUGGGCGUAAAGCGCCGCGCAGGUGGUUUCUUAAGUCUGAUGUGAAAGCCCCACGGUUCAACCGUGGAGGGUCAUUGGAAACUGGGAGACUUGAGUGCAGAAGAGGAAAGUGGAAUUCCAUGUGUAGCGGUGAAAUGCGUAGAGAUAUGGAGGAACACCAGUGGCGAAGGCGACUUUCUGGUCUGUAACUGACACUGAGGCGCGA
rnacentral:rRNA from 1 species